rnacentral:lncRNA from 10 species
GAACAGCAAGCUCUACCAAAGCAAGGUCUCCUCUGCUUCCUCAGACUGCCGACCAGUGCUGAGAACAGGGACACUGAAUAUCUGUGAGCUGAGCGCAUCCAGCCAUCAACUGACUCACUCACUGAAGAACGCUACAUUCUGGGCAUAUCUUCCAUGACAGUCCAGCAGGGUAGCUGUUGGAAAUCCAAACAUGUCCACUCCUGCUUACGACCUCAGUCACCACCUCUUCAUAUGAUUCUUCCAUGGGCUGUUCCUGAGCACCUGAGGGAGAAAAACAAACAGAAACAAACAGGAAAGGGCAGAAUAAUUGAUAUGUGAGAAGGAAAAAGUCAACAGUUGUUGAGACAUAAGUGAAUGCUGGAGUACAGUGACUCAAUUACAGCUUGCUGUGACUUUGAACUCCUGGACUCAACGGAUCCUCCCACUUCAGCCUCCCAAAUAACUAGGACUACAGCACCUGGUUCUUCUUGACAACUGCACAUUCUGCUACAUGCUGUGAUGACCAGGAGAAUCAUUUAAAUUUUUAUUUGGAGGACUCACUUCCAACUUGGAACACAAGCUGCAAAGGAAUUCCCUACCAGCAUGCCAGCACAUCAUUUGGAAGUUCAAGGUAUUCUUGCUCAACAGCUGCACACACAUUAAAAGUCCCUGGGGUACAUGGCGCCUGCUGCCUGGGGUUGGACUCUGUCGCCGGGGAUUCCAGAAAUUAGAGUAGAAUUCACAGCUCUGCCUCUCCACCUGCUGUGAGGUCUUCAAGUUACAACUCCGCCGCCUAUCAGGGACCUCCGUGAUUAGUAAGGGAGAAAUUGUCAUAUUUUUCUCCCUAGAUCACAGGUCUGAGGAAGCAGUUUCCCCAAGAUUUUGUAAAAGUGGCUUUAUAAUUAAAAACAUUGAUUUUCCUAUUA